UACGUAGGGCGCAAGCGUUAUCCGGAAUUAUUGGGCGUAAAGAGCUCGUAGGCGGUUUGUCGCGUCUGCCGUGAAAGUCCGGGGCUCAACUCCGGAUCUGCGGUGGGUACGGGCAGACUAGAGUGUGGUAGGGGAGACUGGAAUUCCUGGUGUAGCGGUGAAAUGCGCAGAUAUCAGGAGGAACACCGACGGCGAAGGCAGGUCUCUGGGCCACUACUGACGCUGAGAAGCGAAAGCAUGGGGAGCGAACAGG
rnacentral:rRNA from 1 species